CUUUCUCUCAGUUUCGCUCACUUUCUCCAGAAAAUUAAAUUGAAGUUUGCCAGUUUUCAAGAAUCUGAUAACUUGAAAAUUAAAUUCAAGUUUGGUAGCUUUCAAGAAUCUGAUUGCUUGGGAUCCGUCAAGAAGAGUAGCUGUUAAUCUUCGAUAUUCCAAGUUCCAAGGGCCCUUCCACCAGAAACUGCACGUAUGCUUAGUGCUCUUGAAGCCUUUUCUGGAUGCCCCGCCACUUUCUUGCGACUUCCGCUGCAUCCGUUGCCAUAAUUACGUUGCUUUUGGCAACAAUGUUAUUCAGGAUCUUUUUCCAUUUUCCAUGACUCAGCUCCUCUUUGAUGGCGGUGUGUAAGGUUUCCCAUGCUCUCAAAACUAAAUGUUGUUGACUGUUUUAAUUAUAAGAUUUAUGAUGUUCCAAGGGUGCAGUAUUUGUGUGAUGCCUAGAGCAUACGAUCAUUUUCGUGGUGGUCUAUUUGUUGGUGGACAUCCUGCAGGGAGUCAUGAGGAUGCGGUUUCUGUCUGCUGUACUUUAUGUGGAAGCUGGCUUGGGUGGAGAAUAGUAAGGAUUUCUAUAUUUCACAAAUUAAUUCAUUUUCUCUUUGAUUUAUCUAUACCUUAAUUGAUAUUAAGAGUGAUAAUCAUGGCACACAUGUUGUUGAUUUGGAAGCACAAUUACCGCUUUGUAAUCCAUGAAGGCCAAUUUGUACUCGUGGUAUGUGGCGAUGGUGCAGACAUAGAGGCUGUAUUUCCUAUGUAAAUUUUUCUAUAGAUUUCUAUGCAGUUAAAAACACAUCAAAUGUUGUGAUGUCAAUGAUUGUAAAUAUAAUCGCAAUUGUUACUACUACUUGCUGAAGUAUGUAGUGCGUACAGUUGCCUCAAUAUUGGUG